rnacentral:rRNA from 1 species
UUGAACGCUGGCGGCAUGCCUUACACAUGCAAGUCGAACGGCAGCACGGGUGCUUGCACCUGGUGGCGCGUGGCGAACGGGUGAGUAAUACAUCGGAACAUGUCCUGUAGUGGGGGAUAGCCCGGCGAAAGCCGGAUUAAUACCGCAUACGAUCUACGGAUGAAAGCGGGGGACCUUCGGGCCUCGCGCUAUAGGGUUGGCCGAUGGCUGAUUAGCUAGUUGGUGGGGUAAAGGCCUACCAAGGCGACGAUCAGUAGCUGGUCUGAGAGGACGACCAGCCACACUGGGACUGAGACACGGCCCAGACUCCUACGGGAGGCAGCAGUGGGGAAUGUUGGACAAUGGGCGAAAGCCUGAUCCAGCAAUGCCGCGUGUGUGAAGAAGGCCUUCGGGUUGUAAAGCACUUUUGUCCGGAAAGAAAUCCUUGGCCCUAAUACGGUCGGGGGAUGACGGUACCGGAAGAAUAAGCACCGGCUAACUACGUG